rnacentral:rRNA from 1 species
AUGUACAUGCAUAUAACAUUAAUGCAUGAGAUCCCAUUAGAACUUUGCAGUUAAGCAUGCUUGGGAUAGAGUAGUAUUGGGAUGGGUGACGUCCCAAGAAGUCUUAGUGUUUUACAUG